UGGGGAAUUUUACACAAUGGGGGAAACCCUGAUGUAGCAACGCCGCGUGGAGGAUGACGGAUUUCGGUUUGUAAACUCCUUUUAUAAGGGAAGAAUUUUGACGGUACCUUAUGAAUAAGCACCGGCUAACUCCGUGCCAGCAGCCGCGGUAAUACGGAGGGUGCAAGCGUUACUCGGAAUCACUGGGCGUAAAGGGCGCGUAGGCUUUUUAUUAAGUCUCGAGUGAAAGCCUGCGGCUUAACCGCAGAACUGCUUGGGAAACUGAUAGAAUAGAGUAUGGAAGAGGUAGGUGGAAUUUCCAGUGUAGGGGUAAAAUCCGUAGAUAUUGGAAGGAAUACCAGAAGCGAAGGCGACCUACUGGGACAUUACUGACGCUGAGGCGCGAAAGCGUGGGGAGCAA
rnacentral:rRNA from 1 species